GGAGGAGUCGCCUAGUGGCCGAUGGCAGAGGUUUGCUAAACCUCGACCCGAAAGGGUCACGUGGGUUCGAAUCCCACCUCCUCCGCCC
rnacentral:tRNA from 1 species